AAGUUGUAACAAGGUUUCCGUAGGUAAACCUGCAGAAAGAUUAUUAUUAAAGGGGAAAAAAACUUCCCUAAAAAGGAUGUAGGCCAGCCUAAAUUUGGCUGGCACACACUGGCUAUAAAACCCUUAUCUAUAAGUACUCUUGUUUCCUUAGCAGGCUUGCCUGCCAAUAGAGACCCUAAUCAAUCUUUUAAUAUUGUUGUAACCGUAACCAAACAAAUAAUCAAAACUUUCAACAACGGAUCUCUUGGUUCUA
rnacentral:misc_RNA from 1 species